UCAGGCCUAGAAAAAACACUGUCCAUUGAGAAAUUGUCGUAUUUGUUUUCCAUUUGCGAGAUGAGAAAUUUGAUACUGCCGAUUAACAGGGACUUCUUUGCUUGAGUCCAAAACUGUCAAUCAAGGCCGAACCUCAGGAACACUCUUAAAGGCAUAAGAAUCCUUAGUUGCUUUUCCUCCGCUUAGUGAUGGUUUAGGAUUUAGGAUUUAGGAUGAUUGAUUUUUCUGAGCAACCUCUGUAAUAUGUCCACAUUUGAAAUGACAUUUCAUUUCAUUGGACGUAUUUUUGCGUAUUUGUACAGAGUGGACCAAUCAUAUCAUUUCAUUUUUGGGUCUACUGUCAUGUAUUGGCGGAGGGAUACGUUGUAUCGGGGAGUCGUCAUUGUUAUUCUCUCUCCGUGUGAUGUUCUUUCACCCCCGACUUUCGAUUGGAGAUAAACACUCACCAGCACAACGAGCGUUCAUCCAAAGAAUUCCAUACCAGAGCUUCUCGUGGCCCGGCUUAACGACGUUAAGGGCGCCGUUGGAAAUUCAGUUACUGUGGGUCGAAGUUGAAGAAGACGUUCUAGAACGUCAACCAUCGCUGCAGCCCUUUAUGGCAGAGUGGCCCGACGGAAGCCUCUCCUCAGUGCAAGACACAUGAAAGCCCGCACGGAGUUUGCUAAAAAAAAAAACACCUGAAGGAGAUAGCUGGGAUAGGCUCCAGCACGCCCGCGACCCGAGUGAGGAGAAGCGGUACAGAAACUGGAUGGAUGGGGGCGGGGCAUACCCUGUCGCAGCUGCUGCAGGGUGAAAGAGGUGACGCUGACAAGUGAAGCGCUCGAUCCUUCGGGAGGACGGAAGGCGCUCGCCUUCAGGCUGCCGUGCGCCGGCGCCCCCGUCAGGCUGAAGGUCAACUCGUCCGGGGGGGCAUCCAGGUCGAAGGCAUCCAGGAGGGUGCGGGUCAGCUCCCGUGUGCCCCCCUCCUUCACCUGAACACCAUGCCCCUGUUAAUAUGGCCAGGAAGCCGUGCAGAGGUUUGGUGUCCAGGUGAAAGGUCAGCUGGUCGGGGGGGCUGUCGGGGUCCGAGGCCCCCAGGACACCUCCGCACAGACACGCCCGGGAACCCUCGUCCACCACCAACAUGGAUGCUCCUGAGGAAGUAGCGUGACGUUGAGAUCAUACACAGGAAGUGUGCCGUGCAGCGGGACCGGCGGAGCAUCGCCGUGGCAACAGCCGUCCGUCCCGCCCGCGUCGCCGUCGGAGAUGAUGAGCGUGACGGUGUCGGAGGCAGGAGC